UACGUAGGGUGCGAGCGUUGUCCGGAAUUAUUGGGCGUAAAGAGCUCGUAGGCGGUGUGUCGCGUCGGCCGUGAAAACCUGGGGCUCAACUCUGGGCGUGCGGUCGAUACGGGCAUCACUUGAGUUCGGCAGGGGAGACUGGAAUUCCUGGUGUAGCGGUGAAAUGCGCAGAUAUCAGGAGGAACACCGGUGGCGAAGGCAGGUCUCUGGGCUGACACUGACGCUCAUGCACGAAAGCGUGGGGAGCAAACAGG
rnacentral:rRNA from 1 species